CACGCACACACGGGGAGAACAUGUAAACUCCACACAGAAAUGCCGAUUGACCCAUCCGGGACUCAAAACAACAACCUUUUUGCUGUGAGGCGGCAGUGCUAACCACUGAGCCAUUGUGUCGCCCUGUUCAUAUAUUUAUAUAUACAUAUAUUUCAAAAUAGCAACAAAAAAAAAGGAGAGGAGGGGAGCUUCCAAUAUACAUGGUGUUAGUAUUAUAGAUUUCUGCACAGACACUGACAUUAUAAAGAGGAAUUUCCCUGAUCUGAAACAGAUUUAUUGUCUCUCUAGAACUAUAACAAACAAUGACAUUCUCUCCAGCUCCAUCUUUAAGGUCAUCUCUCAGACCUUCUCUUGAACCCUGUCCGCUUGCGUUUUUGUUUUCGCUCUAUUUCAGAUGCUUCAUGUGACCCUGUCCUCCAACGCUCAUUCUGACUCCAUUUCACGAGGGUUUUCAUGUCCUCGUGUGUCUAGUGUGUGUUAAGAAUCUACUUAGAGUGAGCUUCAAUUCGCAUGCCGUAAUCUACAAAUAUUGGAUUUUCCAAAAGCACAUUUGUAACUGCUCUCAGGUUGCUCCGCCCUCACACCAGUGUUUGCAUCAUCAGAGAAGAAAAGAGGAGAAGAGAAGAGACUUAUCUACAAUAAUAUCAGCGUUCUGGUGCAGGUUUUAUGUGUCAAUGUUUUUAAGACAGCUAGCUCUCUGCAACUCUCACAUGGUCACCCACUG